AGCAGGUCAUAGUGAUCCGGUGGUUCUGAAUGGAAGGGCCAUCGCUCAACGGAUAAAAGGUACUCCGGGGAUAACAGGCUGAUACCGCCCAAGAGUUCAUAUCGACGGCGGUGUUUGGCACCUCGAUGUCGGCUCAUCACAUCCUGGGGCUGAAGUAGGUCCCAAGGGUAUGGCUGUUCGCCAUUUAAAGUGGUACGCGAGCUGGGUUUAGAACGUCGUGAGACAGUUCGGUCCCUAUCUGCCGUGGGCGUUGGAUGAUUGAUUGGGGCUGCUCCUAGUACGAGAGGACCGGAGUGGACGCAUCACUGGUGUUCCAGUUGUCUCGCCAGAGGCAUUGCUGGGUAGCUAAAUGCGGAAGAGAUAAGUGCUGAAAGCAUCUAAGCACGAAACUUGCCAAGAGAUGAGUCAUCCCUGACUUUAAG
rnacentral:rRNA from 1 species